rnacentral:lncRNA from 1 species
CUCCUUUUGCUCCUGGGUCUCCCUGAGUCCCUGGGCUGAUCGGGCAAAACUGCCCUGCUGGGCGGGACACCUCUCUUUCCACUAUGUGGCCCCAGGGAGGGUUUUACACAUCCUCCUCCUGGCUGCAGUGACCCACACUAGGGCAGGCGGAGCACAGCCAGGUUCCUGAGACGAGAGCUGCCGGCCCUCAGGGUCUGGAAGCUUCCAGAACAAACACAGCAGCGGCAACUAGGCCGAUAUUUUUAAGGUCUCUGUCCUAUCAGGGCAUUUGGCUCCUGAACAGAAUUUGCUGGGAAGUGAGCAAGAUAAACAGAACCCUCUUCCGUGUCCCUAGGGAAAACUCCUUCACAUUCUCUCAGCGUGUUUAUUUCUCCGAAGCGGCGUUGCAAUUCAGGCUGAGAAGCAUCGAGUGCUUAAAUUUUUAAAGAAAGCUUUGUGUUGUCAAAAUCUGUUUGCUAUAAGACAAAUGGAAGGGGGCGUGAUUUUAGGAGGUCAGCACAUGACCCCACCAACCACCCUGGUCUGCCUGGCACAGAGGCCUCUCUCCAGGACACAGGACUUCCAGGGCUACACCAAGGGGAAGUCCUGGGCAUAUCCAGAGCAGGGGGCCCCAGGUCAGGCCCACACACAGGCAGGAGAGAGCAGUGGGCACAGGCCCUGCAGAUUCAGCAGUCGAGGACACCAGUCCCUGCACUGCUGACCACGUGGGGAAAGUACUCCUUAUAAGGUGAAAGAAAAAAGCCUUGGGUAUUGUUGAAAAACACAAACCACCAUUCACAGUGUGAGGUGGAAACCAGCGGAACGUGGAGCACCUGUCUUCCUGGUGGGCGUCUUGGGGGAUAGAGUGUCUUGGUGCCCCUCGUGGGACUCAGUGAACCUUCUCUUAGGAAUUACCAAACACGGCUGAAAUCUACUUGUAUUUUUAUCCGAACUGACUAACAGCGGCCAAAUAUGUUUAAUGUAGUGAUGAGAGCAGUGAGAACUGCAGGUGGCAUCUUGGAAGGGCUCCUCUUCCAGCCUCCUUUGCUUGGCAUGUCAACAAAGAACACGCGGUCGCCUGCAUCUGCAAACAGCACAUUCUUGCCAGGUCAUGAUAAUAUUGCAAAAGUUGUUGGGGUGCCAAGACGGGGAGGGCAUGACGGUUAGAUUCCAUCAGGCAAGUGUGAGCUCGCUGGAGAUUUAGAAAGAAGGCUUAUGAAAGAUAUUCAAAUCUGAUUGUUCAGAUCACGAUUCCUCCUGCAGUAUCGGGCAUUCACUGACGUGAGCAGGCCUCUCACUUGACAAUACUCGGAAGGCAGGGGUGAAGGCUACAAGUGGACGAGUGAACUUACUGGGGCAGGGCUGUGGGGAUGGUGAGACUGGAGGUGGAGCUGCACAGACAGCAGGGCUGACCUCAGAGCACGUGAUGCGUCGUGCUUUUCCCGUGUGAGGUGACAGCGCUGGCCCUGAGGACGGUCACUUUCAGCUCUAAGCAUUAAGAAUCCGGCAUUUCUAAUGGCUGAUGGUCAGUGUGCGUGAAUCAGCUCUUAAAUGCCAGCACAGGAACGGCUGCAAAUCCUUCUGAUGAGGAAACGACUCCUGUGAUUGCUGGACCCUUGGUCGGUUCUCAUGGCGUCCAGGCAUGGCACUCACAGAGGCAUCUUGACAUGGCCCCGCCACAGCAUCCAGGUGCCCUCUUCUUUGUGGACAGUCCUAUACCGCUCCUGCAGGACCAUUAAGGGUCCUUUCUCCCAUCUAUGGUCCAAACGACCUGGCGCCAAAGGAGUGAGCCCCUGCCUGGUGCUGGCACAACCGUCUGGGGCCCAGGCGCAGAAGGGAUGGAGCUCCAGGAGCUGGCCAUCCUCACGCUGGAACCCGGGGGCCGAGUGGUCCGGACGCUGAGGCUGCCCCACUCUCACAGGAGGGAUGGAGCUCCAGGAGCUGGCCAUCCUCACGCUGGAACCCGGGGGCCGAGUGGUCCGGACGCUGAGGCUGCCCCAGUCUCAGUCUUGACUUUCCCCCAAAUGUUGACAAAAUCCCAUGUCUCCAGGGGAGAUACUGGAUUUCAAUGUUUCCACAUUCUUGCCACAAACAAAGCCGAAGGAAAUCCAAAUGGAGGAUGAUAUGCCACAUAGGAUUCUUCUGGAAGAAGUGGUCUGUUUGAUUCCAACAGCAGUGACAGCCCAGCUCCUGUUACAGAAGUGGAAAACCAAAUCUGCCACCAGGGACUGGCGUGUGAAUUAAACAUCCACUUGGAAACUGUAUGCCCCACAGAAAGCCAAACCUGAUCCCCACUCCUCUUGGGACAUGAGAAAGGGAGGCCGCUGGGUGAAACUGGAGAAGGGGUGGUCUGUGGAGGUCUCCCUUUGUGGAGCAGAGACCUUUGUUGCCGCCUGAGGUAUGCAGGUCAGGAAUGCUGGUCUCAGGGCCCUCAGAGGGGACUCGGGAGAGGGGCUCGAGGAAAGCCAUAUGGUGGGGGUUACCUCGAACCCAUCUCCCAUGCCCACACUCUCCUAGAAUAGCUGCCUGCCCCAGGAAGUGGGCUUUUCUGCCAACUUUUCUUAUUAGCAGAGAACGGGCCCACACAAAUGCAAAAUAAAUAAGCGGCGACUCAUUUUUGGUUGAAAUCUCAUUGAUCACAGAGCAGCCUGCAUCCAGGAGCUGCUAGGCCAGGGUUUCUGACUUUUCUGCUGAGUGGUCACAGCCUGGGGCGUCGUCUUCACCAGGCUCUGCUUUCCUGAUGAGAGCGUCAGGUGCCAGCCA